GAUGAACGCUGGCGGCGUGCUUAACACAUGCAAGUCGAACGAUGAAGCCCAGCUUGCCGGGUGGAUUAGUGGCGAACGGGUGAGUAACACGUGAGUAACCUGCCCUUAACUCUGGGAUAAGCCUGGGAAACUGGGUCUAAUACCGGAUAGGAGCGUCCACCGCAUGGUGGGUGUUGGAAAGAUUUAUCGGUUUUGGAUGGACUCGCGGCCUAUCAGCUUGUUGGUGAGGUAAUGGCUCACCAAGGCGACGACGGGUAGCCGGCCUGGGAGGGUGACCGGCCACACUGGGACUGAGACACGGCCCAGACUCCUACGGGAGGCAGCAGUGGGGAAUAUUGCACAAUGGGCGCAAGCCUGAUGCAGCGACGCCGCGUGAGGGAUGACGGCCUUCGGGUUGUAAACCUCUUUCAGUAGGGAAGAAGCGAAAGUGACGGUACCUGCAGAAGAAGCACCGGCUAACUACGUG
rnacentral:rRNA from 1 species